GGCAAGAUGGCCGAGUGGUUAAGGCGUCACGUUUAGGAUAUAUAUAAACCAAUUAUAUAUAAACGAACCGUGAUCCGAAAGGGCGUGGGUUCGAAUCCCACUCUUGUCA
rnacentral:tRNA from 1 species